GACAGAGGGUGCAAACGUUGCUCGGAAUCACUGGGCGUAAAGGGCGUGUAGGCGGGAAGGAAAGUCAGAUGUGAAAUCCCUGGGCUCAACCCAGGAACUGCAUUUGAAACUCCCUUUCUUGAGUGUCGGAGAGGAAAGCGGAAUUCCUGGUGUAGAGGUGAAAUUCGUAGAUAUCAGGAGGAACACCGGUGGCGAAGGCGGCUUUCUGGACGACAACUGACGCUGAGACGCGAAAGCGUGGGUAGCGAACAGG
rnacentral:rRNA from 1 species